GCGCUCGGGCGCAGAGAGGCGCGGUGUAGACACCUGUACCCUUUCGCCCAGUUCCGAGCGGGCCGGACGCCGGGGAUCGCCCGAGCCCGCCCGGGCCCGCCGGGAAGGAAAGGAGGGCGGACGUGCCUGGCGCAAGGUGAAGGCGAACACCUGGACGUCCGCGUACGCGGGGCGGGCGCUAGGACCCGAGCGGCGCACCUGUUGGCUGGCGCCCCGGGCCCCGCCCGCCACCCCGAGCGCCCGGCCCGGCGAGGGCGAAGGCAGGAGGGACGGUGCGAGCGGGGGGCACCGGGUGGUGGUGGCGGCGGCGGCCCCGGGAUCACCAUGGCCGAGCUGCUCUGGAGCCUGCAGGAUUCCCAGCUCGUCGCCCGCUUCCAGCGCCGCUGCGGGCUCUUCCCCGCGCCGGAUGAAGGCCCCGGCGAGCCCUGUGCUGGCCCCGCGGAGGGCGCGGCGCGGGCGCCCGGGCUCGGGCAUCUCCCCGCAGCCAAAGGCAGGGGCGCCGAGGAGCCGGCCAGUGGGCUGCGGAGAGUCGCGGUCCCGCAGGCUUAUGUACAGAAGUACAUUGUGAAGAAUUAUUUCUACUAUUACCUAUUCAGAUUUUCAGCCGCUUUGGGACAAGAAGUGUUCUACAUCACAUUCCUUCCGUUCACUCACUGGAAUAUUGAUCCUUAUUUGUCCAGAAGACUGACCAUAAUAUGGGUUUUGGUGAUGUAUAUUGGCCAGGUGGCCAAGGAUGUCUUGAAGUGGCCCCGCCCCUUCUCCCCUCCUGUUGUGAAACUGGAGAAGAGAGUGAUCGCUGAGUAUGGGAUGCCGUCCACCCACGCCAUGGCAGCCACCGCCAUCUCCUUCACCCUCCUUAUCUCUACCACGGGCAGAUACCAGUAUCCCUUUGUUUUGGGACUGAUGACGGCUGUGGCGUUUUCCACGUUGGUGAGUCUCAGCCGACUUUACACUGGGAUGCACACAGUCCUGGAUGUGCUGGGUGGCAUCCUGAUCACCGCCAUCCUCAUCGUCCUCACCUACCCCGCCUGGACCCUUAUCGAUCGCCUGGACUCGGCCAGCCCCCUCUUCCCUGUGUGUGUCCUGGUGGUACCAUUCUUCCUGUGUUACAAUUACCCCGUGUCUGAUUACUACAGCCCGACCAGAGCGGACACCACCACCAUCAUGGCUGCCGGCGCUGGGGUGACCAUAGGAUUCUGGAUCAACCAUUUUUUCCAGCUCGUGUCCAAGCCCACGGAAUCCCUCCCUGUUAUUCAGAACAUCCCACCGCUCACCAGCGACCUGUUAGUUUUGGGUCUGACCAAAUUUACUGUGGGAAUUGUGCUGAUUCUCCUGGUUCGUCAACUUGUACAAAAUCUCUCGCUGCAAGUGUUGUACUCCUGGUUCAAGGUGGUCACCAGAAACAAGGAGGCCAGGCAGAGGCUGGAGAUCGAAGUGCCUUACAAGUUUGUCACCUACACGUCAGUUGGCAUCUGUGCUACCACCUUCGUGCCAAUGCUACACAGGUUUCUGGGAUUACUGUGAGCCUCAAGUGGUCGGAAAUUAGCUCACUGGACAUGAGAGCAAGACACCAAAAAGCUGUUGAGUGGGGAAGCUGACAACACAUUUUUCUUUAAAAAAAAAAAAAAAAAAUUCCCUAAGUCACAUGUCUGUUUUGCUGAUACCUGAGAUAAAUGUUGCUGCUUUAUGGAAGGAAAAAUGGUCUCACGUGACCACUAGCCUGUAAGCGUCAUGUUGCAGAUGAAGCCAGGCAGACCCCCAGCUGAGUUCUUUAAGGCGCCCCACCCUGUCCGUUACUUGGACUUUGGACCCGUCCUGGGCUGGCAGGAGUUGUGGCCUGGCUUAGAACGGCCACAAGCCCUCCUGGGUUCUGCAGAACCUAAAGAGACGGGCAUGAUCCAGGAGGCUGGACGUCGGGCGUUCCUUUUCAGCUGUGACCUUGCCCAGCACUGAGCCUCAUUUCCAAAACUGGAAUGUUGGUCCAAGAGAAAGGGGGCGCCACGUGAAACUGCGUUCCUUGGACAGGGCGACUUUCUGGUCGUGAUGAUCACAUUAGACAGUGCCUGCUUGGGGGGAAAGAGCACUGUGAACCUCGCUGGGAAGCAUGAAACGCGGGGGCAAAGCUGGCGAGGUCACGGGCAUGAGCCUGCUUUCCUUAUGCAUCCUGGUCUCUGUCAGGUGCAUACUGGACAGGGAUCCUCUCCUCCUCGUUUGUACACUUUGCAAGAUUCCAGGCACCAUUUCUAUCCUCUUCUGACCCAUGAACCCAACUGGCUGCUCCCUUCUCACCUCAUCUGAGUGUCCUGCUCUGUCCUGCAUCAGAGUGACUUGGGACAAGCCCUCUGCUUCAGCUUUUUUGCUUCCUUACAAACUGGGAAGACAGUGUUGUCUGUCCGUGAAAGUGGAUCAAUAGAAGAACAGAGGAACAUAAUCCUUCCUGGGGCCUGACAGAGGGAAUAGGCCUCCCUCCCUGACACUGUUCCUCCACUUAGUUUCCUAAAUCUAUUUGCUCAUCUGAAUAGAACCAGUGGCUCCCUUUCCAUCUUCCCACCUCUUUCUCACCUCUUGGCAAUUUGAAGGGUAAUGCAAGAACCACAUCAGCCUCUCUUAGGAAAAGAAGCCAACAAAAUACAACACCCUUUAAAUCUCGGGAGAGUCCUUAGAUUUAGGAAGGUGGUCAUUAUGCAGACAACCCCCUGCAGGGGCUCCUCUUCAGUUCUUAAGAAUGAGGAGGAACAGGUAUCAACAAUGUUCUUAAAAAUCUUUUUCCCCCAGAUCCUCAGGGUUCAUGCGACCUGAGUUGAGAAGAGGCGACAAAAAUAAACAGGAGGCUGUACAAUUUUCUGUCGCUGUCAUGCUUCAGUCACGUGCAAAUGUUGGUGAGCAUCACAGCAGCCACAGGUGUGAUGAACAGGAAGUAAGUGAACCGAAUCACGAGAACAGGAAGGAAGCAGAAGCAGCUCUUUAGUCCAUUUCCUUGCCUCCACAUGGGACCAUCCAGAGGAGUUGACAUCUACAGCAGACGGGACGGCAGCGAGGGACUCAGUCUGCGCCCUUGGCGCCCGUGCCUCUUCCCUCUUCUCUUUGCUCAGCUCCCUGAAGCAGUCCCAUGAAACUUCAUCUUAAGAACAUUUUACCACGAUCCUGGCUCUUUCCAGGACCUGUAAAUACUCCACGUUGCUCUUUGAUGAUCAAGAACCAAGCCCUGUUUCUCUAGUAAGAGAGGUUAACUGGAAACAAGUGGGAUGUGAGUAUAGACGUAUCUCGUUCUAUGGGAUAGAUGUUUUCCUAAAAGCUGCCUGUGUUUUGAUUGUUUAAAUGUGAAUUUUAAGUGCACUGAGGGAUUUGCUGUUAAGUCAUAUGGCAUGGCACUUCUUCAUUUCUGUAAACAUAAGGCUCCUUAAUGGAUUAUUUGGGACACACCACGCACGCAUUGUUUUCUUCAGGUGGGGCACACCUGUAGUGCAGACUUGACUACGUACAGGAUGCAUACUAAGAAGAAUGAGCGCUGAAUGUGGACCAUGAAUAGAAUGUUAAAUUCUUAAAACUGUAGCCUCAUGAGACAAGGGAAAUCUAUAAGAAGCCAAAAUCCUUUCUCCUCUUCCACGCCUGUCUGUAUAGCAAGCAAAAGCCAGCAAGACAAGCAGGGAUGUAGCUGGAGUUCCGGCUGGGACGCUUCUUUGCUGCACACACUCAACACACCUGUUGGCACCUGUAGCUGGCACUCUCUCGCUAUAACAUCAGGGUCCCCUUGGUUGGAGCACAAGCCAGAUUCUUUCUCAGUGGAGAGGUUCAAAGAAUGUCAAUGCCUCUUCAAUACACACAAAGCUAGCCUUAGAGCACUGCAGGUGGGGCAGGGUGACAGUUGGUACUGCCAUCAUGCCGUCUACCUGCAUGCGUGAGCCUAAAUAGGGGCCAGGAUCUCCUGGGCUUCCAGUCUGCAGUGUCUUGUGGGAACCAGGUGGAUGACCCUGUGACAGGAAACCGUGCACAGGGCACACUAAACACAGACCAUUUUAGCCAUCUUAAUUAGGUACUGAUAAAAAUAUUUGGCUGGAAAACUAUUUUUGCUGUGGGGGAAUAAAACCACAGCUUAACGUAAAUUCUUCAUGAAGUGAGUCAAUCAGUUCUGCUGCUAUUAAAUAGGUAAUAGUAUUUUCAUCAGGGUAUCCCUUUCUACUUUAUCUCCAACAUCAUAGUUUUUUCAUUGUUAGAAAUUGAAAAUAUCCAUCUUCCACGUCUCGACUUGUUCAAUCUUCGCUCUGGCUUCUUAAAGAUAUGGGAUAGAGUUAUAAUAUCCUUGUCUAUUAAUUUUAUCAGCUAGGUAAUUUUUCAGUCUGUUUUAUUCAUUUUUCCCCUUCCUAUUGGUUGUAUUUGCCAGUUUCUUUGCCUGAUACUUUUUUUAUUGGAUGCCAGAUACUGUGACGUUUACAGUGUUGGGUGCUGGAUAUUUUUUUAUCACUAUACAUAUUCUUUGUUCUAGGACGCAGUUCAUUCCUUGGAAGUAGUUUGAUUCUUCUGGACCUUACUUUUAAGCUUUACUGGUUGAACCAGAGUAACGCUUAGUCUCGAGUUGGUCUCCCCACUACGGAGGCAAAGCCCUUCUGGGUACUCUCCCCAUGGGUUCCGAGGUUUGCUAGCUCCGGCCCACCUCGUGUGGGCUCCCAGGGCGGUUCCCUCACGUCUGUGGAUGUUCCAGGCGGUCUCCUCUUCCUGAGCAGUUCCCUCACAUGCACGCACUGGCAGUGCUCAACUUAAGACUCAAGGGCGGGGCCUCUGCCUAUCUCUCCUCGGCUCUUACCGCUUCCCUGCCAACUCUAGCCGCUUCGGCCUCUGUGGACUCCCAGCUCCAUCUCAACUCCUGGAGACCUCCGACCUCCACCUGGGCCCCCACCGCUGCACCACAGCCUGGACUCUCUCCAGGCCGUAAGCUGGAGAAUCACAGGCCUCACCUUGUUUCUUUUCUAUCUCUCGGGGGAUCACUGGCCUUCGUUGCCUGGUGUCUAAUGUGUUGAAAACCACUGCUUUACGUAUUUCAUUUGGAUUUGUAGAUGGGUAAGCAAAGGAGGAAAAUGUUCCUUGGGAAGAAGGGAGUAAAGACUACAUGUAUGGAUCAACUAGGAUGCAAGACGCUGAACUAACUUGAAGACUGGAGAGGAGGUCAGUCAGGUCCAGCCGAUCCAUGCUUGUUUUCAUUAUGCUCCAGAACAAACCCUGUCCAGGGCCUCCCCGUGACAGUGGUGCUCAGUGUUUCCCACAGGUUGUCUCACCUACACGAUCUCUCUCCUCCGUACAGCAUGGUUUGCUAUUGGGGCACCUUUCCGUCUGGCUUAUUUUACUUCAUCUGCCGCAGGCUCACUGCCAGUGCUCUGUGUUUAAACAUUGUGCCCGACAGUCACAGCUAAGAGAUCUCCAGUGAAUCCCGUCCGUCUCUGAGUAGCCUUUCAGCACCAGUGUGGAUGUCUACACGGGUUUGCCUCCAUUACAACUGGUUUCUUGUUGGCCCUAAGUAGGUACUCACUUCAGGGGUGGGCGGAAUGUAGGAAAUUUCUUUUUCUACCAGGUUUGGAACCAAGCAGGCACAUUUCCUCAACAUCCUCACUUUUCUGUCUUAAUAUUUAAGGGCAGAUUUGCUUUGCAUGUCUGACAAGUCCUAUAAUUCAAAUGCUGGAGCAGUUCUCUCAUGCCAGCACCUCCUAACACCUGGGGGGGGGUGGGGGAGGGCUUUUUCAAAAUGUGUUCUAAUGCAGAACAUGUCAUGUUCCUGAUUUCCUUAAACCGAGACAAUCAAGCCCAAACCUAUGGAUGAGGAGUGAAGAACCUGAGUGUGGGCCUCAAGUAUAUUUUUACUGCACUGCAUGGGUCACAUGAGGGAGAAGAAACAGGGCUUUAGCCUUACAUAAUUCAAUUAAACCCUCUCCUGGAGGUGUUUGUUCAACCCACAGUCUACAUGUUUACAGUCAUCCUUUCUGUUUACUAGAAAGUUGAAGGUGGGCAGGCAACCUGAAAACAAAGCAGGCGGUAGUGGAAAUGAAAAUCACCCGGAUUGUCGUCAAGUACUUGCCACGUGGCUCCUCUGCCUUUGUCCAAGGAGGCCGACUGCCCCACAUGGACUCUGGUCAGGGGCCUUAGGGAGCUGCUCACAGAUUGUCCCAGAGAGUUGGCAACAACAGAAGGCUCAUCAGCAGAGGAACAGCUGAACAAAUUAUGGACAUCCACGCGAUAGGACUUUGUAUCAUUUAAAAGGGCUCCCAGUUUUUGCUACACAGGUGUGUCUUCUCCAGUAAAAGCUUUCUGGCAGGCAGUGCCCACAGACUGCUCUGGCUCCAGUUCAAAUGCCUCACGGGGGCGAGUGUAAGACGAUCUGGCUGCGGAGCCUCCACUCUAAGCCGAAGAUUCGUUUCUUCUUCUUCUCAUGUACCCGAUAUUGUUAUUCUUCCUGCUGUCUCCUGCUUCAGAGGGCAGAAACCUCCACAUGAUGGAUGCAGUUGAUCUUCUUACCCCUUUCAUGCUGGGAUAUACAGUUAGGGAAAAGAACAGGAUUCUGUCCUGCAGACGUGAUGGUGAGAGGCUCUGAUGUGUGGAGAGCUUCUCUGUUUCUCAGAACAGCUCCUGGCCCCCCACUGGGCUCUCACGUACAAGCUGGCCUGAUGCGGGGAUGGCAGUACCACCCACGGAGCCAGACACUGCUUUCUACUUUAUUCAACAUUAAUGCACAAGCACAAGUGGACUGACUUACUGUGGGGACAACUAAAGGGCACCUAGGAGGAGAGAGGGACCUUCGGGGCGAGAACCACACAACAGAGACCCAUCUUCACAAAAACGGCUCAAUGUUGAUUUCCACGCAGGAGCAGGGCAUGGUCAGCUCGAAUUUGGUGAUAACAUCAGGAUGAAGGACCCCCAGCUUCCCGAUGCUCUGACCCCGGGCAAAGAUCUCAGCACAUCGCCCGGGGAAGAAUGCAGGGCCUGAAAAACAGGGAGAGAAAAAUCAACGUUUCUCCUGGAAAAAAUGUCAAUAGACAUUUAACAUUGAAAGCUCACUAGUCUACUUUGAAAAAUAACUAUUCUUCUUUAAACCACUGGCCAUGAAAUAAGAGUGCUCCCUCACACUUUCUGGUCUUAAAAAGAAGCAUUUGAGACAGCUAGUGGGAAGCAGCCGCAUAGCACAGGGAGAUCAGCUCGGUGCUUGUGACCACCUAGAGGGGUGAGAUAAGGAGGGUGGGAGGGAGGGAGACGCAAGAGGGAAGAGAUAUGGGGCUAUAUGUAUAUGUAUAACUGAUUCACUUUGUUAUAAAGCAAGAAACUAACACACCAUUGUAAAGCAAUUAUACUCCAAUAAAGAUGUUGAAAAAAAGAAGCAUUUUAUAAGGAAAGAAAAGGUUAGGGGCAAAUAUGAAAAUCAGGGCCCUGUGUUUUUUAUCAUAGCGGUCCAGGAAGGAUGAAGAAAAGGAGGCUGAAGGAGCAGGGGUGGGAGAAGACUUGGGAAGUAUGCAGAUGUGGAACUGCUCUACAGAGGACAAAGGGAAAAAUGAAAUGUAAAACCAACGACUUUGCCUGGGAAGAACCUGUUUUGAAACAGGUUUUUCCAUAGUAAUACUUGCUGGAUUAAAGCCUACACUGAAUUCAUGUACUAUUCAAAACAUCACUCUUUUCUACCUCAUUCCAUAGAGAAACGCGAGCUGCACUGUCAUCGGCAGGCGUAGGCCUUGUACCAGAAUGUGACCCACAUUCCUGUGGGAAAGAGAACUUCCUAAGCAGUUCUGGCACAUCUACUGUAAACCCGCAGCAGAGGCUAGCCCCAGAGCAAGGCUGGGUUGGCCUCUGAUCUACUCAAGACAGGCAGAAGCUUCCCUCCCCAUCUGGGUGCCAAGGCAUGGCUAUGGCUUACUAACCCAGUAACAGUUCUUGAGGUUUAAACAGCUAAAAACAAGCGAGCAGACAAACGUACAGGCCCACUGCAGAGUCACUAAGUUACCAGUGCCACAGGGACGCAUCAACGCUCCAUACUCCACUGAGGUUAACGCCAAUGCUGACUCACUUCUCUCAUCACCAACUUGUAAAGGGAUUAGGUCCGCAGCUCCUGACUGAUUCACCCAAAACAUCUACUGGCAUCAACUAUAAAAUGCCGAGCCACAAGCCUCCAGCCCGCCAUUUCAGAGUGAGUGCGUUAGUUAUGAAAGAGUAAACUUCUGAGUCUCUACUAAUGGUUCCAAGGUCAGCAUAAGGAAGAAACACAGAACUGUGUGUGUGUGUGUGUGUGUGCGCGUGCGCUACCAUUAAGUCAGCACCCGUCACACCACAGAGACACAGGACGACUAUACAGAAGGAUGUCUUCCUGAAAAAUAUUUUUAACUGUCAUUCUUAAAUAACCCCAAAGCAACCUGGUUGAAUUAUAAGGUGGCCUUGUUUCUCACAUGCCCCCAAACUAAAUAAUUCUGCUUCACCAUUAAAGCAAAAAUUUCAAUGAACUGCAUUUGAAGUUCAUAAUUGUUUGGCUACGUGCAUUAAUCCACACUUGGAGAGAGGGAUCAAAUAAAAUAAUACAGAAACCAUACUGCAUCGAUAAUGUA